rnacentral:tRNA from 1 species
AGCUCAGUUGGUUAGAGCGCUACCUUGACAUGGUAGAGGUCCCGGGUUCGAGUCCCGUC